UUUCAAUCAAGUGUUAUUUCACACAUUUUUGAAGAUACCAAUUUUUGUUCUGGAGUUCGACUUUAGAUACAAGGGGUUUGUUUUCACAUCUGCAAAUGAUUUCUGGAGAUUAUUUAAUUGAUUUUGUUUUAGGUGUUUCAUUAAAUUAUCAUUUUACUGUGAUUUUCUAUUUCCAAGGCCAGGAAGUUUCAGGUGAAGCUGUGUGAUUCCCAAUUUUGCUGCUUAUUUGUUUCCUUCUUAUAAGAGUUGUAUGUAUUUUUAUAUGAAGACGGCAUUUUUUUCUUACAUUUUUGUAGAAACAGUAGCUGUCAGUGUGGCUUGGUUUACAAGGUUCAUAUUGAAAGAGUGUCCUUUUCAGUCACUAAAGCAAAUUGUAGUUACUUCACUGGAGUAAUGCGAGGGGUCUGUGUGUGUGUGUGUGUGUGUGUGUGUAUGUGUGUGUGGUGUUAUCCUUUUACUCUAGUUCUCUAUUGUAUUGCAUUUAUUCUAAAGGUCCUCUAUGUGCUUCGUUUUACUUUUUCCACACUGUUUCUGAAGGAUGCCUUUCUCUGCUCUCUGUACUCCCCCUCCUUUUUUUUUCUUUUUACUUUUCCUCAUGGAGAGGUGAUGCCUUUCUGAGACCUCCAUUUUGAAUCUCAUUUACUUUUAAUAUAUUUCAUGCUAAACAUGUUCUUGCCUACCAAGUCUCUUUUAUAUUUUUUAGUAUGAAUUAUAGACUUUCCCCAGAUUUUACCUGAAUUGUGUUUUCAGUUUCCCACUUCUCUCUUUCGUGGUUUUUGUAGGUUUUCGUUUUUCUUUCUGUGGCCUUCAUUCAAGCUCAUUCCUUCACCUUCUGUUCUCUAUAAGAAGCUUGCUUGCACUAGGACGUUAAGUAAUGACUCUUCCAAAAUUUGAUGCUCAUUUUUAUAUGUACAGUUAAUGGGAAGUGAGUAAUUUUAUUCUGUCUUCAAAUUAUGUCAAAUACAAGUGAUUUAUGCAAUUUUAUUUGUUUUUCUUGAUACUUAAUAUAGGUCUGGAGGACUCAUAGAGAGAUUUAGGUGGUCCUCAUUACCUCUGGGCAGCUUGGAAGUUAAGUGAAUUUGAUUUUAUUUACAUUUAUACUAUCAGUAUACAUUUUUAUGAAUAAAUUUACUGUGAUAUAUUUAUAUAUCAUAAUUAACCCAAUUAAAAUAAAUAAUUUAUUGUCUUAAAAAUUUAUUUAUCAAAUAGUAAAAUUGUCACGCUAGUUCAGGUUUAGAACAUUUUUGUUACUGUUAUUAGAUUCCAAAUACUCAUUUACUGUUGGUCGCCAUUUUGGGACCUCUCACUCCGGGGAAUUGCUAAUGCAAUUCCUGUAUCUAUGGAUUUACCUUUUCUAGACGUUUCAUAUGAAAUGGAAUUGUACAAUAUGUGUGACUGGUUUCUCUAACAUAGUAUAAUGUUUCAAAGAUUCGUACAUUUUGUAACAUUAAUCAGUACUUCAUUUCUUUUUAUCCAUGAAUGCCAUUGACGGAUGAUAUUGCAUGUUUAUUUAUCCAUUCAUCAGUUGAAGAACAUUUGAUUGCUUCUACUUUUUGGCUAUCACGAAUAAUUUAAGGGUUUCAAUGCAUUCUAACCACAAAAACAUUAUAUAAGAAUCCACAUUUAAACCUAUUGUAACAAAACAACUAACCAAUGAAUUCAAGGAGGUGCUCUUAAGAGUACCUUGAAAGAAAGAUCAAUUAUCUAUAAAUUUAUGCAAUUGAAUUCACUGUCAACCUUUCAAUUUUACCAAUGGAUAAAAAUGUCAGUAUUAACAUAGAUUCAAAAAUAUUAAAUAAAAUUUUAGCACACACAAUACAGCAAUGUAUAAAAAUGUUGACAAAAUAUAACAAAGUUUAUUUAAUUUUAUAAGAAAGUUUAUUUUACUAAGUUUACUAUUGUUAGUAAAAUAUAUACUCAAAUUAGUAUAUAAUGAUUUACCAUAUUAAUGUGUUAAGGAUGAGAAAAUAUAUUAUUUUAAUAAGUAAUUAUAUAAGCUUUCAAUGAAAGUAAUCUAUAGUUGCAAAAAUAUUUUUAGAAAACCAGAAAGUUAUAUUUAUGCAUUUACAUUUCAAAAACUUCUAAAAUUAAUUAACACAUAAUUUUCAGAAUAACUACAUAUAUGGUGAAAGUAUUAGAAAAGCAACUGAAUUAUAAAUUAAAAAUUUUGUUUAAUGUUUACUUCUGAGAUGGAAGUGGAAUGGAUUUUGAGGAGACCCACUGAUAGAGAAACAAAAGUUAUGAAAAUGUCAAGAAUAUUUUUUAGAUGUGUACUCUCUGUUUAUUUUUUUUGUCUCUGGAUUUUGUAGCCAAACUGUGACAUAUACAAAGACCCAACACUUGAUUACACCAGGAAAUUUCCUUCUAUCUGUGGAUCCAGUGGUAAAACCUAUGAUAACUCAUGCCUGUUUUGCAUCGCAGAAAGAGAAAGUAACGGUGAAAUUACUUAUGACCACUGGGGCCCAUGUUGACCUUUAUGAUCUGGUGCUAUACAUUCCUAUGACUCCUCUUGUAAUCCUUUUGUGCUGCUGGAUUCUAGAGAAUGCUAUUACAUAGUGCCUUCCUACACAAGGAGGUGAAUCUGCUUUGGAAACAGGAUAGACUAUAAGAAUUGGAAUAUUCUUGCAAUUUCAAAAUUUAAUGUUAGUUCUUUGUUGAUGUCCAAAUAUUUGAUAAAGCUCUGAAAAAUCAGUAGUCUAAUUAUAUGUUUAAAUGAUGAAGCAGACACAUUUCUCAAUCAUUGAAUACUUUGCUGAAUAAACAUGUUCCAUGGUAUUUACUUCAUUAAA